rnacentral:lncRNA from 1 species
UAGCCGGAUCCAAAUCAACAUGCAAAGAAGCAUCUAAUGCAUAUCAUGCAUUUUAUCAUAUUGUGAUAACACAUAAACCAUUGUAUAGCACAUUUUCACAAUAUAAAAUCAUUUUACUAAAAGCUUGUUCCCAAGGUACAUUUUCUAAUACAAGUUGGAUAGAAUCUUUCAUAUUCCCCAAAACAAGUUUGAAAUGCAAGUCCACUCAUCGGUAUUAGGAGUAGAAAUACUCCUAUUUUCAGUCCAUGAGUACAAUCUUUUAC